GCUCCUGUGGCGCAAUCGGUUAGCGCGCGGUACUUAUAAUGCCGAGGUUGUGAGUUUGAGCCUCCCCUGAAGCA
rnacentral:tRNA from 1 species